UACGGAGGGUGCAAGCGUUAUCCGGAUUUACUGGGUUUAAAGGGUGCGUAGGUGGGUUGUGAAGUCAGGUGGAUGAAUCUCCAGCUUAACUUGGAAACUGCCGUUGAUACUAUAAAUCUUGAAUGUUGUGGAGAUGAGCGGAAUAUGUCAUGUAGCGGUGAAAUGCUUAGAUAUGACAUAGAACACCAAUUGCGAAGGCAGCUCACUACACAAAGAUUGACAUCUGAGGCACGAAAGCGUGGGGAUCAAACAGG
rnacentral:rRNA from 1 species